GAUUUUCUGUAUCUGAAGGGGAGUAUAAUGAGUUCCUUAAAUAUCGAGCAAGUAAGCAGACAUCUCCACAAGUAGCCUCUGUUGCUGUUAAUUCUUUUGCUUGUGUUUCCCAGUCUAGUCCUCUUGAACGAUGGGUUGUGGACUCAGCUGCUUCUGAUCAUAUCUCUGGUAAUAAAUCCUUUUUGUCAAAUAUUGCGUAUUCACGGUUUCUCCCCAACGUUACUUUAGCCAAUGGGUCUCAAACUAAAGCAAAAGGAGUUGGUCAAGCGAAUCUCCUACCCUCUAUCACUCGAGAUUUCGUUCUUUAUGUCCCUGGCUGUCCUUUUAAUCUUGCAUCCGUUAGUCGUUUGACUCGUGCCCUCCAUUGCGGUAGAUAUUUUAUUGAUGAUUCUUUUAUUAUGCAGGACCGCAGUACGGGACAGACGAUUGGAACAUGACUUGAAUCAGAAGGACUCUACUACCUUACCUCACUAAAAUCCUCCAAGGCAUGUCUAGUAGCAGAUCCUCCAGACCUACUUCACCGUCGUUUAGGACAUCCUAGCUUGUCCAAGCUUCAUCGUAAGGGACAGACAAUUGGAACAGGACUUGAAUCAGAAGGACUCUACUACAUUACCUCACUAAAAUCCUCCAAGGCCUGUCUAGUUGCAGAUCCUCCAGACCUACUUCACUGUCGUUUAGAACAUCCUAGCUUGUCCAAGCUUCAGAAGAUGGUGCCUAGUUUGUCUAGUUUAUCCACAUUAGAGUGUGAGUCAUGUCAACUCGGGAAACAUACCCGCGCCUCCUUUCCUCGUAGUAUUGAGAGUCGUGCAGAGUCUAUUUUUUCUUUAGUUCAUUCUGAUAUAUGGGG
rnacentral:lncRNA from 1 species